UACGAAGGGUGCAAGCGUUAAUCGGAAUUACUGGGCGUAAAGCGUGCGUAGGCGGUUGGUUAAGUCUGCUGUGAAAUCCCCGGGCUCAACCUGGGAAUGGCGAUGGAUACUGGCGAGCUAGAGUGUGUCAGAGGAUGGUGGAAUUCCCGGUGUAGCGGUGAAAUGCGUAGAGAUCGGGAGGAACAUCAGUGGCGAAGGCGGCCAUCUGGGACAACACUGACGCUGAAGCACGAAAGCGUGGGGAGCAAACAGG
rnacentral:rRNA from 1 species